rnacentral:rRNA from 1 species
UUUUGGACAAUGGGCGAAAGCCUGAUCCAGCAAUGCCGCGUGCAGGAAGAAGGCCUUCGGGUUGUAAACUGCUUUUGUCCCCACCCCAACGGCCUUUUCUAAUAAAGAGGGCUAAUGACGGUACCGUAAGAAUAAGCACCGGCUAACUACGUGCCAGCAGCCGCGGUAAUACGUAGGGUGCGAGCGUUAAUCGGAAUUACUGGGCGUAAAGCGUGCGCAGGCGGUUCUAUAAGACAGAUGUGAAAUCCCCGGGCUCAACCUGGGAAUGGCAUUUGUGACUGUAGAGCUAGAGUACGGUAGAGGGGGAUGGAAUUCCGCGUGUAGCAGUGAAAUGCGUAGAUAUGCGGAGGAACACCGAUGGCGAAGGCAAUCCCCGGACCUGUACUGACGCUCAUGCACGAAA